GACGAACGCUGGCGGCGUGCCUAAUACAUGCAAGUAGAACGCUGAAGAGAGGAGCUUGCUCUUCUUGGAUGAGUUGCGAACGGGUGUGCAACGCGUAGGUAACCUGCCUGGUAGCGGGGGAUAACUAUUGGAAACGAUAGCUAAUACCGCAUAAUAGUAGAUGUUGCAUGACAUUUGCUUAAAAGGUGCAAUUGCAUCACUACCAGAUGGAUCUGCGUUGUAUUAGCUAGUUGGUGAGGUAACGGCUCACCAAGGCAACGAAACAUGGCCGACCUGAGAGGGUGAUCGGCCACACUGGGACUGAGACACGGCCCAGACUCCUACGGGAGGCAGCAGUAGGGAAUCUUCGGCAAUGGACGGAAGUCUGACCGAGCAACGCCGCGUGAGUGAAGAAGGUUUUCGGAUCGUAAAGCUCUGUUGUAAGAGAAGAACGAGUGUGAGAGUGGAAAGUUCACACUGUGACGGUAUCUUACCAGAAAGGGACGGCUAACUACGUGC
rnacentral:rRNA from 1 species